AUUGGGUUUGUGUAAAUGCAGUAAAAUCCAUAACACUCCUGUAAAAUACACAGCAGAGACGAGCAGGAUCCUUUUGCUCUAGGGCUGGAAUAUAAAGUAGUUUUAGUUGCUAAGACAGAUUAAUUCUUUAGAGUCAGAAAACAGUCUUUAACCCCAGUCAUCCCAGUUUCUGCCAAAUAACUGAGAAGAUAAAUGCAUCAUUCUUCGAGGACAGAAGACAUGCUGGAAAUCAGCUAUGCCUUCUGGAGCAUGAGGCCUCCAAGUUCACAAAAGAGGGGAAGAGAGGGACUGAAGAGGCACAUUGGCUUUUCACUGCCUCAGCCUGAAGGUGACACAGAAUCUUAGAUUACUCAGAGAUGUGAUCAGUGACUCACAACAUUUCAGCCAGAGAAGAGGAGGAAGCGAGCCAUCGCCCUGGUGGCUGAUGGCAUCUUGACGGUGCCUCCCUCUCCCCUCAGCGAGAACGCCGUGAGGUCAAGUCACACUCACAGGCAUCCAUUCUACGUGGAAGCUUCUCGGGAAGCUGGCUUUACAACUUCCUUCAAUCACCUGGCCAGCUAUGUGCAUCACUCCAAGGAGAAUCCCUUUUUUAAUCCUGAGAGGAACAAAUGGAAUAUCUCGCUCUGCCCAGCAUCUGUCCCCCUGAAACAACGAUGCCAGUCCCAAGCAUUGGUGUGGCUCAGAUCUUCAGGUGAAAGGCCAGAGGGAAGAGAUUGGAGGAUUUAAAAAUGAUCUCUAGAGGUCUUUUGGAAAGUGAAGUUAUCUAUGUGGGGACCACAACAUGUGGGAUACUUUCAAUUCCCCUUGCCUGAGUACUGACCCAGGUUAAUAUUUUAUACCUAUUACCCCUUCCUUAAGAAGCUUAUAACAUCAGCUGUCCCUUCUAAGACUAGGACAUCUUUUGCUUUUGUAUAGUCGUCUUACUCUAGGUCCAAUGCCUGUGUGAACAUCUACCAAGAUAUCUCACUAUCAGUCUAAAGCAGCCGUCUCCUCACAUUGGACAUCCCUCCCCUGUCCCUAUCCUGGCAUGUGCUUCCUCACCAGGUGGCUAGAUUUCUAAAACACCUUCCUAAGGAUCCUUCUGCUUCUACCCUCUCCACCUCCACCACCUGCAGUCUAGCCAGUAACACAGUGCCACUGGGUUUCUCUUCUUGAAAUACUACCAUUAUCACGUGUCCCCUCUUCAAAAGCACUUGAUGGCUCCUCUGUUCUCAGAAACAAGCACACCCAAAACCUCUCCAAGUGGAUUUCAAGGCUGCCACAGUCUGUCUCCAGCAGAAGCACCCCCUGGUGUCUGUUCUGGGUCUGAGGACAGUAAAUUCAUCAGUCUUCUCUGUGUCAUUCAUUCCCUAUGGAGUUCGUGCUAGCUGAGAUGAACAGGACUGAUUGCUGUAGGGAAACUGAGUGGAUGGGGGACAAACUCAGAUAAACAGCAGGAAGGACACAUCAGCCACUCAUGUCCUUCAGAGCCUUCCUUCUCACCUCGUCUGUUCAGACUACUCCCAGGCAUGUGUUCUAAAUGGAAUUGAAAUCCUAUUCUGUUUAUCCUUGUUCAUAUUAGCAAAAUGUUUGGUGAGCUCUUUAUCAAGGGCUGACAGGUUGGUGCCAACCGAAGAGGCUAAGCACAUUCAUCACUGCGGCUGGGACGUGCCCCAGCCUGAAAAGACUGUGCCAACCACUUGUCAUUUCCUGGCAGCUCCCCCGUUACUCAAACCCAGCCUGCUUGUAAUUGAAAACCUCCAACUUCUGUGACCUUCAAGAGUCACAUGAAAAGACGAUUGACUGGCCACGUGCAGCUUCACGUGGCAAUUGAGUUUGAGGCUUUGUCAGAGCCAGGCUAUGACAGCUGAGCCAGCAAAAGUCUUGGGAGGAGGUCAAAUCACAGGAUCGUGAGGUCUCUCCAGCCUCCUUAUUUAAUAGGCCAGUAGAGUGAGGCUGGAGACAGUAGGGUCAGUGCCAGUUCGAGAAUUUCUAUGGAGGAUCUUACGAAUGAUACUUUGGGAGGAGCUAGAGGACUUGUUUUAACAAUGAACUUGAGAAAAAAGCAUUUUUUAAAGGUAGCUUUUUUAUUGGUAUGGCUUAUAGGGACUGGUGGAAGUAAUGCAGGGGGUUGUGGUGGUCAGGUUCUGCUGUGUAAAUCAUCGGUGUUUAUCUUUCUGCGCCCUUCCCCUGCUUUGCUCUGUAUCACAGCGACAAGCCCUGAACAUGACAUU